UCACACCUUAAUAAAUAAUAA
rnacentral:piRNA from 1 species